UAGCCAAUAUCAAAUUAGAAUUGGACUGGCUAAAAGUUAAAAUUUAAUAUUUUAUCGACUGGUAUCCAAAAUUAAAAGGAACUAGAGCGGGAG
rfam:Tissierella praeacuta DSM 18095 genome assembly, contig: EK13DRAFT_scaffold00003.3